rnacentral:lncRNA from 1 species
GCGAGGCGGCGAAUGGUGUGAGGCGACGCCGCCGCCGCAGCCCCUAGAACCCUCUUCCGCGGGGGAGAUCCAGGGCCGCCCGCCGCGGGCGGGAGAUUUCGAAACCUGGGGAGAUUGCAGAAGGAAAAAAACUCGAAACAAGCGACGUCGCCCCGGCGCAGGUCGCGGAUCGUGUCGCCGACCGGACCUACCUACCUAGGGCUGCGCGGCGAGCUGGGCCUAGUGUUCGCCGUUCUAGAAGGUUCUAGACCCCCUCUCUCUUCUCGCACACGCAGGCUAGAGGGGGAAGGAAGGGCGGGGGGGGGGGGGAAGGAUUUGGGUUUGCGCGAGGGGGUGUGGGUGGGGUAUGGGUAGGGUAGUAACGGGAUGCGGAUCGGGGGUCGAGAUGGACGGCUGCGAUGGGAUCGCGGGCGAGGC